ACCAGACUCCUACGGGAGGCAGCAGUGGGGAAUAUUGGACAAUGGGCGAAAGCCUGAUCCAGCCAUGCCGCGUGUGUGAAGAAGGUCUUCGGAUUGUAAAGCACUUUAAGUUGGGAGGAAGGGCAGUAAAUUAAUACUUUGCUGUUUUGACGUUACCGACAGAAUAAGCACCGGCUAACUCUGUGCCAGCAGCCGCGGUAAUACAGAGGGUGCAAGCGUUAAUCGGAAUUACUGGGCGUAAAGCGCGCGUAGGUGGUUCGUUAAGUUGGAUGUGAAAUCCCCGGGCGCAACCUGGGAACUGCAUUCAAAACUGACGAGCUAGAGUAUGGUAGAGGGUGGUGGAAUUUCCUGUGUAGCGGUGAAAUGCGUAGAUAUAGGAAGGAACACCAGUGGCGAAGGCGACCACCUGGACUGAUACUGACACUGAGGUGCGAAAGCGUGGGGAGCAAACAGGAUUAGAUACCCCGGUAAAG
rnacentral:rRNA from 1 species